AGCUGACCUGACAAACCACAGAAAUAUAAAUAACACAGAUUCUCAGAAAGUCAGAGGAGAAGAAGAAGCAGCAGCUUGAAAGUCUUGAAACUGAACACAAACCGUCGGACUGAUGCGGCGAUGGCGGCCGUGGUGCUGCUCCUGCUCUCAGUCUGUGAAUGUGACAGCAGCAGGGUCAAAGGUCACACGGGUCAGGAGAUCACUCUGCCCUGUAAAUAUGACAGGAAAUACUACGGCGCUCUGUCAGCGUGCUGGCAGCGAGGAGAAAUACCAACCAGAGGCGGCUGCUCCAAUCAGCUGAUCUCCACAGAUGGACUCAGAGUGGAAACCAGAGCUCCCAGCAGGUAUCAGCUGCUGGGCCGACUGGAGGACGGAGACGUGUCUCUGACCAUAAAGAGCCUGACAGAGGGAGACGCUGGACGAUACGGCUGCAAGGUGGAGAUACCCGGCUGUUCAACGACAAGAAGCAUCACAUCGAUCUGACUGUUGCUGACGACCUGAGCAUCACCACAGCGCCUCACAUCUUAACCACCAUCACCACCGUGGUGGGACAAACAGGAAGUGAUGUCACAGCCACAGACUCGAUGACGACGCAGACUCAGACUGAGGUGAGGAUCACAGCUGUGCAGCAGGUAGACCACCUGGAGAUCUUCAUCGGGAACUCGGCGAGACUGACCUUCAGCAUCUUCAUCCCUGCUCUGCUGAUGACUGCAGCUUACAGAGUUUGGAGGCGUGGUCAGAGACUGAAGACUGACAGCAGACUCAGCCAAUCAGAGGAGGAGAGUCCCGUGUGAACAGUCUGAGCUUGCUCUGAAGCCCCGCCCUGGGAAUGACCUCACAGAUCAGAGUUGACAAAUAAAAUAAAUAUUAAAUAUGAUGAUUCCGUGUGGUGGUCUGAAGCUUCAUGUCACUCACAGGUUGAUGCAGUCAGAGUGAAUCAAUUUUAAAUGAUUGUUUCAGUUUUGUUAAAAAAAAAAAAAAGCUUUGUUAUGAUGACAGCAUGAUGUCAUCAUUUUAACUCGAGCAGAUUAUUUUAGUGCAACAGAAAAACAAACUGAACGAAGGGCCCACAGAUUCAAAUCCUCCAUAAGAAGAAAGUCUGAAUGUUUCCCAUCAUGCUGUGUGUCAGAGCCACAGCUGCACCCACAGGGGUGGACACAAUAAUAAGAACCCCUGGAAACAUCCAAACAUGUGUUUUAGAAAAGCUUCAGGUGUUCCUGUUAUUUUGUCCCCACCUCCAUCACAUCAAUCAAUACCACAGUACUUUAAACUACUGCAGUACUCGAGUACUGUUACUCCAGCAUCGACGGUCUCUAGCGUGGACUGAUCCCAUUUGCACUCUGAUGUUUUAACCAGAUUUUAAUGUUUGACUGUAAACAUGAAGGUUUCUCAAAGCUCCGCCCACUGCUCAUUAAUGUUCAUAUAAUCAUGUGAGGAAGUUCAAACUGAUGGAUCGGUGAUCAGGUCAUUGAUGAGACACGGAGACAGAAGGUGACUAAUCUUUUAUUGUGGUGAAAAUGUCGCUGUUUA